rnacentral:rRNA from 1 species
GACGAACGCUGGCGGCGUGCCUAAUACAUGCAAGUAGAACGCACAGUUUAUACCGUAGCUUGCUACACCAUAAACUGUGAGUUGCGAACGGGUGAGUAACGCGUAGGUAACCUGCCUGGUAGCGGGGGAUAACUAUUGGAAACGAUAGCUAAUACCGCAUAAUAUUAAUUAUUGCAUGAUAAUUGAUUGAAAGAUGCAAUUGCAUCACUACCAGAUGGACCUGCGUUGUAUUAGCUAGUAGGUGAGGUAACGGCUCACCUAGGCGACGAUACAUAGCCGACCUGAGAGGGUGAUCGGCCAAACUGGGACUGAGACACGGCCCAGACUCCUACGGGAGGCAGCAGUAGGGAAUCUUCGGCAAUGGACGAAAGUCUGACCGAGCAACGCCGCGUGAGUGAAGAAGGUUUUCGGAUCGUAAAGCUCUGUUGUAAGAGAAGAAAGGGUGUGAGAGUGGAAAGUUCACACUGUGACGGUAUCUUACCAGAAAGGGACGGCUAACUACGUG